rnacentral:rRNA from 1 species
UACGUAGGGGGCGAGCGUUGUCCGGAGUACUGGGCGUAAAGCGCACGCAGGCGGUCUGUGAAGUUUGGAGUGACAGUUGGUGGCUCAACCACCAAAGUGCUUUGAAAACUGACAGACUUGAGGGCUUCAGAGGGACACGGAAUCCGGGUGGAGUGGUGAAAUGCGCAGAUAUCAGGAGGAACACCGGUGGCGAAGGCGGUUCUCUGGGCCUGACCUGACGCUGAGGAGCGAAAGCGUGGGGAGCGAACAGG